UACGGGGGGGGCAAGCGUUGUUCGGAAUUACUGGGCGUAAAGGGCUCGUAGGCGGCCAACUAAGUCAGACGUGAAAUCCCUCGGCUUAACCGGGGAACUGCAUCUGAUACUGGAUGGCUUGAGAUUGGGAGAGGGAUGCGGAAUUCCAGGUGUAGCGGUGAAAUGCGUAGAUAUCUGGAGGAACACCGGUGGCGAAGGCGGCGUUCUGGACUGCAUCUGACACUGAAAGACGAAAGCCAGGGGAGCAAACGGG
rnacentral:rRNA from 1 species